ACAGCCCCCACCCCCGCACCUGCUCUGGGCACAGAGGCUGCGGAAGGCUGUCCCCUCAGUCCCGACGUGUCCCUGCCUGCGUACCCUGCACCCAUCAGGCCUGUGGGCUCUCCCCACAUGGCUGCCCGGCCCCCGCCCCCGGACACACAGACCCCCACAGUCCUCCCAGAGGGGCCGCAUCACAGGGCGCCCUGCACCGCCCCCAGCGGGGAUGUCCUGCCACCCCGGGGCCCUCCCACUGUCCUAGGGUAUGAGGCCUGCGUCCCAGCUUCCUCUGUGGGGUCUCCCCCACGACCAUCACUGAGCUCCUGUGUGUCACGGGCUAUGCUGUCUGUCUGUCCGCACAGACAACAGGCUCCCCAGAACAAGGCAGGCUCCCCGAGGACAGGGCAGGCUCCCCAAGGACAGGGCCUGCCCGAGUCACUCCUGCAGGAGGGGAGUCUGCACAGAGCUCACUGCCGUGUUCAGUGGAACAUUCUAGCGUGUGAAUAGCUGGGCUGCCACAUGCUCCUGUGGACUCAGGCUCUCCUGACUGGCCUCAACACCCUGGAACCUUCCAGAAGUCUGUACACAGUCCCAGGACUCCUGCUCCAAAUUGCUCAGUUCUGGAUCCAGGGAAUCUCUCUUCCCACCUGCUCACCUGGCCUCUCCCUUCUCCUGCCUCCUAGAGAAUAUGUGGACAGGUCAGCAUGGUACAGGCUGCAGGACAGAAGCCACAGCCCUGCACCCCCUCCCCGACUGCCCCUGGGCAGAAGGGCUCCCAGUUCCAGUCUUCUGGCAGCCGAGCUGUAGCAGUAGGAGCCUGUGCCCCGGGGCCGUGCCGAGGAGCCCCAGGCACCAUCCUGGGUACAAGGGUCCUGAAGCUCUGCCUCUGGCCCUGGCUCAUCUGCGGAGUUUCAGACAGCAGCUCCACUGUGGAGGACGUCGCCGUCUGGCCGUCCCACAGGCACCUAGGUCUCAGCCCGCCCAGCACUGAACUCUGUCCCCCUGUGACAGCCCGUCAGAGACCCGGCUGCGAGCUCGGGCCUUCCCUCUGGCCCAUACUCAGUCACCCGAGCCUGCUUCCUCGGCCUUGCAAGCCUGCUUCCUCGGCCUUGCGUGCCACGCGCAGACCACUCCCCUACACCCCGCCGCCUCGCUUCUGCUCUAACCCCUCCAGUCCUUCCUCCACCGACCACCCGAGGGCUUGCUAAAUGGAACGGUGGCCACCUCCCCUUCCUUCCUCACGUUAUCAGAGCUUCAGGGAUCAAUCCAAACUCCGAGGCCUGACCUUCAGCAUCCACGUGAUGUGGCCCAUGCCUGCCUUGUUUCCGCUCCCCUCUUUUCUACACCCGGGCCACACGGUACCACCACCAGCCACCUGAAUGCACAGGGCAUGGGGCUUUUACACGGCUUCAGGCCCACAGUCUGGGCCAUGGUCCCUUCGGCUAGGAAAGCCCUUUCUUCCUUAAAGACUCACCUCACCCAAGUGGCCUCUGGUGACCACAUCUCUCCCUUCCCGUCGCUGGAUCUACCCUCCCGUACUGGCUCUGCGAUGCACUUUAGGGUCCCAGUGACCACACACAGUCCCCCAGCACCAGCUCAAUGCCCAAGGACCCAGGCCAACCCUGGGUCUUCCGUGUGUCCUCCAGGCCAGCCAGGGAGCUCUCUGGCUGCCAGCAUGCAAGUCAGCGUGUCUCCUGUGCAGCAGGCACCAGGCCUGUCCAUUUGCAGAACACUUAGGCCCUCCGUGUCAAGCUCCGAGAACAGCGAUACAGCAGGGCAAGGGCUCCACGCACUUGAGGCACAGGCCACAGCUCACAAGCCGCGACCCAGGGGUCGGAGGGCACUGGACUUGGACCUCAGGUGGCUGCGAGCUCCAGACCUGCCUGCACAGCGUUCCCACUUCUGUGAUUAAAGGGAAACAACGCGUUUCCCUGUCUGGCAUACAAGUUGCUUGAACAUUUUACAAACUAAUAGCUUUUCUGAAAAACAGAAGGAAACUCGGGAAGGUUGUUUCAUUAACUCCUCCACACACUGAAACGUACUGGUCAAAACAGCUCAGGUGAGUCACUUCCUCCCCGAGGGCCUGGCCUCCCCACCUGCCCCGUGGAGCUGCAGCACUGCGUCUGCUGCACGGUUAAGGGCUCGGAACUGCCGGGCUCCUCCUCAUCUCUGACCCCGAGCGUCCUGCCCGUGGCCCGGAGGACCCUGCACUCUGGGCUCCGUCAAUAUACUAUUAGGAGGGGGCUGGCCAACGCACCUCCCUCUGGCCCUGUCUCCUCAAGGAGACAACAGUGAUGUCGUCGCAGCCUCUCAAGGUCCUGGGGAGGAUCAAGAGGAACGUACAUGCCCCACCCCCGGCUGGCAUGUGCCACCGUCUCCACACGGCUCCUGGUGCCCAGUAGGUGCGCAGUGAACAUCAUUCUCCCCUUGGGACGUGCACGAGGACUGCGGGGUGGCCACCUGGCCGGCUAGGGGCAGACCCUGCACGGCCGCCUGGCUGGGGCCGGAGGGGGCUGCUCACCUUCCUCCCGUCCACGCUGCCCUCGCCGCCCGGGUAGGCCAGCUUCCGGCGCACGUAGAAGAGCAUGUCAUCCUGCCGCGGCGCCCAUUUCUCCAUGAAGUAGGUAGAGAACAUCCAAGUCCAGAAGACGAUGCGGUCAUCCUUAAAGCACCCUGCCGAGGGAGGCCAGAGAGAAGUGAGAGAGGAGGACGGGUCACCUGCUCCCCGCCCCCCCCUGUGACCUUGGCCACGCUCGGCCCUCCCCUCCCCCACCCCCCACC